rnacentral:rRNA from 1 species
UACGGAGGGUGCAAGCGUUACUCGGAUUUAUUGGGCGUAAAGGGCAGGUAGGUGGUCUUAUUUGUCUGAGGUGAAAGCCUUGAGCUUAACUCAAGAAGUGCCUCAGAAACGGUAGGACUAGAGUUCUAGAGAGGGUCGUGGAAUUCCCGGUGUAGCGGUGAAAUGCGUAGAGAUCGGGAGGAACACCAGAGGCGAAGGCGGCGACCUGGAUAGAUACUGACACUAAACUGCGAAAGCGUGGGGAGCAAACAGG